UUCUUCUUCUUCUUCUUCUCGAUUUAUUCUGAGAACAACAAUCUUUAUCAACCGGAGAUUAAUUGGAGGCUUCGAGAUUGAAAUAAGAGGAGGUCGAUCCUGCAUUAGGUUUUUCAUAUUAGGCCUUGAGAUUUUAUUGAAUUGAUAGGUGUUUUGAGUUGCUAUGGAUGAAGAAUGAAAGGGAUUUGUUAUCGUGGAGUGGAGUCAAUUGAAUUGUUAUCGUGGAGUCAAUUUCAUUCAGAAUCAAAGAGAUGAAACAUUACAGUUUAUGGAACGCCUGGAUAUCGUGUAGCUAUGUGACGGAUUAUAGCAGCUUUUCCCGGUUAAAAAGAAGACAAAACAGCAAAAAUGGUUACAGCUUAGUAACUUGCAAUUCCCUGUAGCUAAACUCCAAGCAGAUCAUGAUGUCAGAGCAAAACGGUUUCUAGCUUAAAUCAUUGAUAUCCAUAUCCUCCUCCCAUCGCAUGGCACACAUUUUUGAGCACUACUUUUUAUGGACCAUUUCUGUGUUUAUGAAGCAUCCACAUAAACUCACAAGUUGACAACACCCAUACCCUGGCAUGGAUAACAAUCAUUAUUGUGCAGCAUGGUGCAUAAAAAGGGUGUCUAUUUAGCUCCUACUUUUUCAUAUUCAUUUCUCAAUUUGCUGUGUGAGCGAGAGAGAUUGAAAGAUAUCCAUGGUGGGUUCAUUUGUUAGAGGAGCUCAAUCCAUCAUGGUGGCUUUAAUGAAAUUGAGACCUAGGGUCCCUAAAUUUGAUAUUUCUGUGUUGAAACUUGAAACCAACAAGAAGAGGAUGGAGAUGGGUUUUGUUGAAUUACAGUUUUAUCUUGCUGAAAUUGCUGCUUAUGGUAAUACAUAAAGAUCUUGCUGAAAUUGCUGCUUGUAUCAAAGAGUAUUUUGAGAAAGCUGUUGUUACUGGUGAGCCUGUCUCAGAUCUGCUUGAAAUCAGCCGUGCCCAGUAGGACCGGAGUUUCUGCCAAUUGAAGAGCAAGUUAGUAGUUUUGUUUUUGAAUGAAAAUUAAAUUUAUUUCGGUUAAGAUUGAUUGGGGUUUCACAUCAAAACCUCCUUUGGAGAUUAAGUAUCAAUUGGAUACAAGCGUGCUUGCGGAACAAGGUCCGAAGAGUCACUUUUCCACAUUGGAGCGACUCUUGGCAUGGGAAAAGAAGCUCUACCAGGAAGUUAAGUUUACCUUGUAACUGGUGAUCGAGGAGGACAAGUGGUUUUGUUUGAGAAAACAGAUGGGAAAGAUGUAAGUGUGUAUUAAAUCCUGUCACUUGCUCUAUGCAGUUUACCUUGUAACUGGUGAUCGAGGAGGACAAGUGGUUUUGUUUGAGAAAACAGAUGGGAAAGAUUUUACCUUCCGCAAGGAGCUGGAAAAAACGGAUUAUUCCAUCGCCAGGCAUCCAAAAUCCCGUUACAAGACUGAGUUUCAGAGUCAUGAGCUUGAGUUUGAUUACUUGAAAAGUUUGGAAAUAUAUGAGAAAAUCAAUAAAGUACGGUGGUGUCAAACAUCCAAUGGUGCUCUUUUCCUUCUUUCAACAAAUGACAAAACAGUGAAAUAUUGGAAGGUUCAAGAAAAGAAGAUAAAGAACGUAGCUGAGGUGAACUUAGACACUUCAGGGGCAAAAUCAAAUGGAGGAAUUCCUGGAAAAAUUGGAGCUGGAUCUGACUUUGUAUUUCCACCUGGAGGAAUUCCUUCUUUACAUUUACCAGUGGUAAUUGUUGGCCAGGAAACAAACCUUGUUCCUAGAUGUCGAAGAGUAUUUGCUCAUGCACUCGACUACCACAUAAAUUCCAUUGCAAAUAACAGGUUCAGUUAAAAUUCAUUGCUUCUUUGUUAAUGAGGGAUUGAUGUUAGUUGGUGUCAUUUUUCAGUGUGAAGAUUAAAGAUUACUCUCAUUGUUUACAAAUUUCAAAUGCAUUUCUAAUACGCGUCUGUAGCUUUCAUGUUAGUUACAUUUGCUUGUUGCCGAAAGUUUCUAACAUUCUACACCUAUAAUUAGAGAAUUUCCAUAUGGUUAGAACUUCAAGUUUCGUGCUGCACUUUGUGAGAAUGAUAUCACAAUGCAGAUUUUCUUCGUUACUCGUGCAAUGUCAGUCAAGUUAACAAUGAUCUAUAGUUUACUUCUGAUGAUUGAUUUCUUUUGAUGUGAAUCCUAUUUCGGUAGAAUUAGAUUGCGUUUGUCAGGAAUAGUACGCAGGGAUGGAGUUGUGUUUAGGAUCCAGUUUUACUACAUGACUGGUUCAGGAAUUCUGUCAAACACCUGCUAAGCAGUUGUGUAUACCGGGUGUCGGAGAUUGAAGUGUGGAACUUAAAGUUUCAUUGAAUCAUAGAGUGGGU